AGCAGCGCGCAGCUCAGGGAGGGAGGAGGUUGCCAUGCAAAUGACGCGGCGUCCUGCGGGCCCCCCUUACCCGGGGGCCCUCUGGUUGCCAAAACAGAGCAUUCCCCAGAACAGUCGCCUGGAAACGAGCGCUGUCAUAGCAGCCUUGAGCUCAGUAGCAGCGAGCCAGCUGUGCUGCCACGAGGAGCUGGGUCAGGAUGUUCAGACCUCCUCAGCACCCCCUCCCCACCCAGUCUCCACCUCGGGGAAGGGAGUGGUGGCUUGGGCCACCGUGGAGGGGAGGGAGGGCACUAAUUGGAUUGGAACACUCCUGAAACGCAUCAGCUGCUCCUCCCUGGGGGAGGGGGAGGAGGAAAGCUGCAGACUGUCUUUGUGAUCGGCUCAGCCUCUCCCUCCCAGCAGCCUCGCCCUGACCUGGUCCUCACUGGCCUCUGCCCACCUAUCGCUGUCCUGGGGCACAAUGGCAAGAUCUUUGUAAAAUGGAGGAGGCAGACACCGGAUCAGAUAAUCACCAAAAUGAAAUUCAGCCUUGAUAUGAAGGCCCCCCGUCUUUCCAGCACCUUUUCUCAUCAGCUCAGCUAUGCCAACCUGGUCUUCCUUAAACCUUGGGAGCAUUUGCUUUUUCCUAUUUCAUUUGGCACCCAGAGAGCUGCCUCAUCAUUUAAGCGUGUGUGUGCUCACCAAUUAAACUACAAUAUAAACUUUAA